rnacentral:misc_RNA from 1 species
GGGCUAAUGACUGGGGUGAAGUCGUAACAAGGUAGCCGUACCGGAAGGUGCGGCUGGAUCACCUCCUAACAGGGAGACAACAAAAUGUAAAUAUUAAUUUUGUCACCUUAGGUCGAUCGGUAUCUCAGAUUCUUAUUAUUUAAGAAUUUCAGUUUCUAAGUUUUUCUAGGUCACACCCAUCACUUUUUCCUGGGCCAUUAGCUCAGGUGGUUAGAGCGCACCCCUGAUAAGGGUGAGGUCCCUGGUUCAAGUCCAGGAUGGCCCAUAUCUCUAUGUUGGGGGUAUAGCUCAGUUGGUAGAGCGCCUGCUUUGCAAGCAGGAUGUCAGCGGUUCGAGUCCGCUUACCUCCACUGAAUACCACCUCUUACAUAUAGUUGAAGUGGGAAAUUGUUUUGAGUCGUGUCCUAAUUUGCUCUGAGCGAAUCUAACUUCCUAUUUUAUCCAAGAAAUAAGAUGCUGGACUCAUUGAAUUUUUUUUCAUUGUUUUCAG